rnacentral:rRNA from 1 species
UACAGAGGUGGCAAGCGUUGUUCGGAAUUACUGGGCGUAAAGGGCGCGUAGGCGGUCUUGCAAGUCCUGUGUGAAAUCCCUCGGCUCAACUGAGGAACUGCACAGGAAACUGCUUGGCUUGAGUUCGGGAGAGGGAAGCGGAAUUCCGGGUGUAGCGGUGAAAUGCGUAGAUAUCUGGAGGAACACCGGUGGCGAAGGCGGCAUCCUGGACCGACACUGACACUGAGGAGCGAAAGCCAGGGGAGCAAACGGG